rnacentral:rRNA from 1 species
GAUGAACGCUGGCGGCGUGCCUAAUACAUGCAAGUCGAGCGAACAGACGAGGAGCUUGCUCCUUCGACGUUAGCGGCGGACGGGUGAGUAACACGUAGGUAACCUACCUAUAAGACUGGGAUAACUUCGGGAAACCGGAGCUAAUACCGGAUAAUAUUUCGAACCGCAUGGUUCGAUAGUGAAAGAUGGCUUUGCUAUCACUUAUAGAUGGACCUGCGCCGUAUUAGCUAGUUGGUAAGGUAACGGCUUACCAAGGCAACGAUACGUAGCCGACCUGAGAGGGUGAUCGGCCACGCUGGAACUGAGACACGGUCCAGACUCCUACGGGAGGCAGCAGUAGGGAAUCUUCCGCAAUGGGCGAAAGCCUGACGGAGCAACGCCGCGUGAGUGAUGAAGGUCUUCGGAUCGUAAAACUCUGUUAUUAGGGAAGAACAAACGUGUAAGUAACUGUGCACGUCUUGACGGUACCUAAUCAGAAAGCCACGGCUAACUACGUG